GAAACCAUGAACAUCGAAGACGAUCAGAUACCGUCCUAGUCUUAAGCAUAAACUAUGCCAACUAGAGAUUGGAGGUCGUUACUUAUACCACUCCUUCAGCACCUUAUGAGAAAUCAAAGUCUUUGGGU
rnacentral:ncRNA from 1 species